UUGACUUUUAAAAUCGUGAGGGUUCAAGUCCCUCUAUCCCCAACCCUACU
rnacentral:tRNA from 3 species